rnacentral:rRNA from 1 species
UACAGAGGUCCCGAGCGUUGUUCGGAAUUACUGGGCGUAAAGCGCGUGUAGGCGGCCCGGAAAGUCGGAUGUGAAAGCCCUGGGCUUAACCUAGGAAGUGCAUUCGAAGCUGCUGGGCUUGAGUUCUGGAGAGGAAGGCGGAAUUCUCGGUGUAGAGGUGAAAUUCGUAGAUAUCGAGAGGAACACCGGUGGCGAAGGCGGCCUUCUGGACAGUGACUGACGCUGAGACGCGAAAGCGUGGGGAGCAAACAGG